GCCAGACUCCUACGGGAGGCAGCAGUGGGGGAUAUUGCACAAUGGGGGAAACCCUGAUGCAGCGACGCCGCGUGGGCGAAGAAGUAUUUCGGUAUGUAAAGCCCUAUCAGCAGGGAAGAAGAAAUGACGGUGCCUGAGUAAGAAGCACCGGCUAAAUACGUGCCAGCAGCCGCGGUAAUACGUAUGGUGCAAGCGUUAUCCGGAUUUACUGGGUGUAAAGGGAGCGCAGGCGGCACGGCAAGCCUGAUGUGAAAGGCCGCGGCCCAACCGCGGGACUGCAUUGGGAACUACCGGGCUGGAGUGCCGGAGAGGUAGGCGGAAUUCCUAGUGUAGCGGUGAAAUGCGUAGAUAUUAGGAGGAACACCAGUGGCGAAGGCGGCCUACUGGACGGUGACUGACGCUGAGGCUCGAAAGUGUGGGGAGCAAACAGGAUUAGAUACCCCAGUACAA
rnacentral:rRNA from 1 species